UACGGGGGGUGCGAGCGUUGUCCGGAAUCACUGGGCGUAAAGGGCGCGUAGGUGGCGUGAUAAGGGUGUGGUGAAAGCCCGAGGCUCAACCUCGGAACUGCCUUCGAUACUGCGGGUCUUGAGUCCGGGAGAGGUGAGUGGAAUUCCUAGUGUAGAGGUGAAAUUCGUAGAUAUUAGGAAGAACACCAGUGGCGAAGGCGGCUCACUGGCCCGGUACUGACGCUGAGGCGCGAAAGCGUGGGGAGCAAACAGG
rnacentral:rRNA from 1 species